rnacentral:rRNA from 1 species
GGAGAGGGUGACAGCCCCGUAAGAGAAAACGCAAACCUCCUUCGAGUGGACCCUGAGUACCGCGGGACACGAGGAACCCCGCGGGAAGCGGCCGGGACCAUCCGGCAAGGCUAAAUACUCACCUGCGACCGAUAGUGAACUAGUACCGUGAGGGAAAGGUGAAAAGAACCCCUGCUAGGGGAGUGAAACAGGACCUGAAACCGCAUGCCUACAAGCAGUCGGAGGGCUAUGGUCCUUCGGGACGAAGCCUGACGUCGUGCCUAUUGAAUAAUGAGCUGGCUAGUUAUUCUCGGUGGCGAGGUUAAGCGAAAGCGAGCCGCAGCGAAAGCGAGUCUGAACAGGGCGUCGAGUCGCCGGGAAUAGACGCGAAGCGGGAUGAUCUACCCUUGGCCAGGGUGAAAUUCGUGUAACAGCGGAUGGAGGCCCGAACCGGUGUCGGUUGAAAACGGCUCGGAGGAGCUGAGGGUAGGGGUGAAAGGCUAAUCAAAUUCCGUGAUAGCUCGUUCUCUCCGAAAUAGCUUUAGGGCUAGCCUCGCGUGGUCCGUCCCGGUGGUAGAGAGCUGGAUGGACUAGGGGCCUUUCCAGGCUACCGAAUCCAACCAAACUCCGAAUGCCGGGAACGUGCAGCGCGGGAGUCAGACAGUGGGGGCUAAGCUUCAUUGUCGAAAGGGGAAGAGCCCAGACCGUCAACUAAGGUCCCCAAAUCUGCGCUAAGUGGGAAAGGAAGUCGAGCAGCUCAGACAGCCAGGAGGUUGGCUUAGAAGCAGCCAUCCUUUAAAGAAAGCGUAAUAGCUCACUGGUCGAGCCGCUCGGUGCCGACAAUCCAACGGGGCUCAAGCGCGGUACCGAAGUUGCGGAUCCGGCGGCCUCAAAAGGGCCGGCGGAUGGUAGGAGAGCGUUCCCCGCCGCAGCGAAGGCAGACCGUGAGGACUGCUGGAGCGCGGGGAAGUGACUCUGCCAGCAUAAGUAGCGAGAAACCAGGUGGGAACCCUGGUCGCCGAAAGUCUAAGGUUUCCUGAGAAAGGUUAAUCCGCUCAGGGUUAGUCGGGGCCUAAGGCGAGGCCGCGAGGCGUAGCCGAUGGACACACGGUUAAUAUUCCGUGACCGCCUCGAUUCGAUCAAGACCGAUGGGGGGACGCAGCCCGUAAGCCCGGGGGAGGAAUGGUUUCGAACCCGGGUGAAGGGAGGUCCGGACAGGCAAAUCCGCCGGGCCGUCUGCCAGGAAAAGCCUCUAAGGGGAAUCGAGGCGCCCGUACCAGAAACGGACACACGUGGACGAGAUGAGUAUUCUCAGGCGCUCGGGUGAUGGGUUGUUCAGGAACUAGGCAAAUUGGCUCCGUAACUUCGGGAGAAGGAGUGCCCGCGCAAGCGGGUCGCAGUGAAACGCGCCAGGCGACUGUUUAACAAAAACACAGGUCUCUGCAAAGUCGAAAACGACGUAUAGGGGCUGACGCCUGCCCGGUGCCGGAAGGUUAAGAGGAGGGGUCAGCCGCAAGGUGAAGCUCUGAAUCGAAGCCCCGGUGAACGGCGGCCGUAACUAUAACGGUCCUAAGGUAGCGAAAUUCCUUGUCGGGUAAGUUCCGACCUGCACGAAUGGCGUAACGAUCUGGCGACUGUCUUGACAACCCGCCCGGCGAACUUGUGGUUCCGGUGAAGACGCCGGAUGCCCGCCACUAGACGGAAAGACCCCGUGCACCUUUACUAUACCCUAUCAGUGAACUUCGGCAUUGUCUGCGCAGGAUAGGUGGGAGGCUUUGAACCCAGGCUUUCGGGCUUGGGGGAGCCGGCGGUGAGAUACCACCCUGAUGAUGCUGGUGUUCUAACCUGCUGCCGUGAUCCGGCAGAGGGACCCUGGUAGGCGGGUAGUUUGACUGGGGCGGUCGCCUCCUAAACGGUAACGGAGGCGUGCGAAGCUCGGCUCAGGCGGUUUGGAAAUCCGCCGUCGAGUGCAAAGGCAUAAGCCGGGUUAACUGCGAGACCUACAAGUCAAGCAGGUGCGAAAGCAGGCCUUAGUGAUCCGGUGGUUCCGAAUGGAAGGGCCAUCGCUCAACGGAUAAAAGGUACGCCGGGGAUAACAGGCUGAUCGGAGUCAAGAGUUCACAUCGACGCUCCGGUUUGGCACCUCGAUGUCGGUUCAUCGCAUCCUGGGGGUGUAGAAGCUCCCAAGGGUUGGGCUGUUCGCCCAUUAAAGCGGUACGUGAACUGGGUUCAGAACGUCGCGAGACAGUUCGGUCCCUAUCUGUGGUGGGCGCAGGAGAUUUGAGAGGAUCUGCCCUUAGUACGAGAGGACCGGGGUGGACGAACCUCUUGUGAUCCAGUUGUCACACCAGUGGCACAGCUGGGUAGCGAAGUUCGGUUAGGAUAAGCGCUGAAUGCAUAUAAGCGCGAAACCUCCCUCAAGAUGAGAUCUCCCAAGCGGGUAAUGCCGCUAACAAGGGCCGUCGAAGAUGACGACGUUGAUAGGGCGGAUGUGUAAGUGCUCAAAGGUACUGAGCUUACCGCUACUAAUAGCCCGUUCGGCUUGACCAU